rnacentral:rRNA from 1 species
GACGAACGCUGGCGGCGUGCCUAAUACAUGCAAGUUGAGCGCUGAAGGUUGGUACUUGUACUCACUGCAUGCGCAGCGAACGGGUGAGUAACGCGUGGGGAAUCUGCCUUUGAGCGGGGGACAACAUUUUGAAACGAAUGCUAAUACCGCAUAAAAACUUUAAACACAAAUUUUAAGUUUGAAAGAUGCAAUUGCAUCACUCAAAGACGAUCCCGCGUUGUAUUGGCUAGUUGGUGAGGCAAAGGACCACCACGGCGAAGAUACAUAGGCGACCUGAGAGGGAGAACGAGCACCAUGGGACUGAGACACGGCCCAAACGCCUACAGGAGGCAGCAGUAGGGAAUCAUCGGCAAUGGAGGAAAGUCUGACCGAGCAACGCCGCGGGAGAGGAGAAAGUUUUCGGAUCGUAAAACUCUGUUGAUAGAGAAGGACGUGGGUGAAAGUAAAAAGCUCAUCAAGUGACGUUAACUGCCCAGAAAGGGACGGCUAACUACGUG